CCCACCCGAUCCACUCCCACCGCACCAAACACUCUCUCUCUCUCUCUCUCGUGCACAUCCCUAAAAAAAACUCUCUCUCAUGAACCUCACCCCCACCCUCGGUCCAGUUCCUCUCCCCCACUAUCUCCGCGCCGCCGCCGCCACCCACGUCGGCCGGUUCCGGCGAGCUCCGGCCGCGCGCAACAUACCCCCAAGCUCCGCCCCUCUAUCCCCCCUUCCAGAUCCGCGCCUCAAGGGUUGCACCCUUGCCCGCCGCUAGGGUUUCAGGCUCCUCUCGUGUUCUUGCCAGAAUCCACCACAAUCGGCGAUGGCGAGGCCGGAGCUUGCGGGAUCCGUCUACGGUGUUGCCCAGGUCACCAUGGUGCAGAGACGACAAUGAUGGCAAGAGGGCACAAACCUUGCCCUGAUCGAGGAGGAGGAGGAGGAGGAGGGGCGCACCUAGAUGCCAGCCCUGCUCUGCUCGAGGAGGAGGGGUGGGAGGGGUCUGCUCCUAGGGCGACCAAGAGGUCCUGCCCGAGCUCAAGCAUGGCCAUGAUGACCCACCACAGCAGCGACGGUGCUGCUGCACUUGUGCUAGUCAGUGAAGCUAAGAACCUUGGCCUUCAAGUUCUUGCAAGAACUAGAGGGUAUGCUGAUGCUGCUCAGGGGUGAUCGACGUGGACUACUGCGGCCUCGUGGGCGUCGUGCUCUUCAACCACUCGGAGACGGACUUCAUCGUGAAGCCCGGCGACCGCGUCGCACAGAUGAUCGUCCAGGUCAUUACGACGCCGGAGGUCGCCGAGGUGGAGGACCUCGACGCCACCGUCCGGCGGGAGGGAGUGCUGGGAUCCACCGAUGUUUGAACUCCGAGCCUUGGUAGAUACAUCUAGAGAAGUGGUCUAGUUGUUUGCAUCUAAUGUUAAAUGGGAUCUCGAGUUGAGAUGUUCAAUGUUGUAUCCAUGAAUGCUGCAAGUGCUAAGAUGGUUAUGUGAACUUAGUUUAUUUGCACUGGACGUGUUUUGAUUUC